rnacentral:rRNA from 1 species
GAUGAACGCUGGCGGCGUGCCUAAUACAUGCAAGUCGAACGCAGUGGGGACGGGUGAGUAACACGUGCGUAACCUCCCAUCAGAGGGGAUAACACUUGGAAACAGGUGCUAAACCGAUACUGAUGGAUGGUCCCGCGGGGGAUGAGCUAGUUGGUGAGGUAACGGCUUACCAAGGCCACGAUGCAUAGCCGGCCUGAGAGGGGGAUCGGCCACACUGGGACUGAGACACGGCCCAGACUCCUCAGGGAGGCAGCAGUAGGGAAUCUUCGGCAAUGGGCGAAAGGCUGACGGAGCAACGCCGCGGGAGUGAAGAAGGUUUUCGGGUUGUAAAACACUUUUGUUAGGGAGGCGUUACCUAACCAGAAAGCCACGGCUAACUACGUGCCAGCAGCCGCGGUAAUAC